AUGCUCGCUUUGGCAGCACAUAUACUAAAAUUGAAAUGCUACAGAGAUUAGCAUGGCCCCUGCGCAAGGCUGACACGCAAAUUCGUGACGCGUUCUUUAUUAAA
ensembl:snRNA U6 U6 spliceosomal RNA